GUUUUGAACACAUGAACAAUAACAUUAAACAACUGGCAUUAUUUUUUACAGGAGAGACUGUUUCACAUCAGAUUACUUCAAAGGUUGCAUAGAUGUCUUACUUCUACAAGAUGAAAUGGAGAACAUACAAACAUGGAUAAAACAGUUACAUGGGGCAGAUCCCAAACUUUAGGUCCAACUGCUUCGACAGUCCUUACUUCAAUGGCUGUCUUGGAGCACUGCUAUUGUCUGAUGAACAAGAGAAGUACACUCAAAUGGUCGAAUUCUUGGGAAAGAAGUGAGACCCUGAUCUAUUCUAGUCGAAGAAGGAAUUCAUCAUUGUACCUUAAUUGUAUAGUGGUGGACAUACAUCUAUUAUUUGUAAAAAUAUACAGUAUUUAUAGUUGUUAAAAUAAACCUACGGAAUUGUACACAAACAUAGAAUUGUUGUGUUCUAACUUAUUUAUUAUGUAGCUUAAGCUUUUGUCCUGUAUUUUUUAAUUUUGUGAGUUUGUAUUGUGUUUCAUGUUCAAUGAACAUGUUUGUUGAGUUGAGAUUAAUGUUUUCGCUAAUGUAUCAAUACUUCAGACAUGAUAUUCAUGAGAUUUCAAGAAAUGAUCAAUGUGAACUAGCCUAAAUCAUCCUUUCAAUGCAAUCUCACUCCCAAGGAGCCAUAACGAUUGCUUAGAUUUCAGAGAAAGAUGUAAUGUUAGAGUGAGUGAGAGAAUGUGUGAAUGAAUGGAAAAGUAUAUGAAAGUGAGUGUGAGAUGAGAAUGUAAGUGUUAUACCGUAGAGAGGGAGAGAGAUAGGAAAUAGAUGAUGAUUAGAAAACUCUGUCAAUUUUUGGGCGAUUAUGGUUCAUGGGUCCAAGCACAGGGGUGAACUGUUAUUUACAAGGAUUAGUGAUUGAUAUAUAAAUGAUCAAACGUCAUACAACCCAAGUGAUAACACUUUAGAGGUCUGGGUUGCGCGACUUUACAGUCAUCCUUAUAUAAAUAAAAUUUUCAGUAACAGAAAAUCUGAACGAAAUGAGAUCAAGACUAUUAGCUUCAAAGUUUCUAUCCAUUUAGAAAAAUAUUCAAAUGAACUUCAAGUGUCCUAACAUGGAACGUAUCAUUGCUACAUCAAUUAUUAGAAAAUGUAUCAAUUGAUAAUUAUCAAUUAUACUUAUGUACUUUUGAAUACAUAAAUAUUUUAAGUUCUGUUUACCCCUGUGCUCGAAGAGAUGCAAAGACUAAGAAAUGACUCGACCAUUUAAUAUGACCAUGAGAAAUAAUAACUUUUUGGAAUAAACUUCAUUUUAUAGUUUUUAAUACAUUUCAGCCCGAGUGACUAUAUCGAACAAAAUCAGUGCCGUGAAAGCACUAAAACUAGAUUAUUCUACUAGCCUACGAUAAAAAUAAGAUAUUUGUCUGUAAUAUAAACAAUGACAAAUCAAUUAUUGUCUUGUGAAAAUACUGUAACAUAAAUCAUGAGCUCCAAUCUUACCAUAUUGUCUCUUGAACAUACUUUUAUUUCAUGUAAAUCAUGUUUUGUUUGUAAUGUUAUUCAUAUAAGUUUUUGUAUUAUAAUUAUUAUGAAACUAUCAUUCCAAUUUUGGAACUAUAUCAGUAUUUUGUAUAUUGUUAAAUGAAAAUCAUCUACCUGACACUCCAGUUUGAAUUUUGAAACAUACCUAUAUAUUUUAUUUAUUUGUCUGCCAAUUUUAUCCUCAAUCAGAUUUCGUCUAUUGAUACGAAGUACAAUUUUAAAAUUGUUCAAUAUCCAUUUGAUUUGAAUUCAGAAAUUCCUAGAUUUCUUCUAUUAUUUUAUUGAUUUGAAUAUCUUAUAACCAUAUAAGUUUGAUGUUACUAGGAUGUCCAAAGAGAAACAAAUAUGUAUAAUUAUAUAAGUAGAAUUGGUGUUCCAAGAUUUUUUGGCUGCAUUAAAAUCUGUCCGCUAAUUUGUCGAAAGAAUUGUGUUUCAUUAGUAAAAAAUUCAUACUGCUUUGAAAUACAGUGUUAUUUUGAACUGUACUGCUAUUACAUUUUUUUAAAUUUCCGACAUAGAUAUUAUGAUGACUGUUGUUUUUUUUAUCCUACUUUAUGCUUAAUGCAAAACAUAGUGUUAUGAAGAAAUACAACAUAAGAAAUUGUAAGUUGGAUACCAAGAGCCAGUGCAUCUUAGCUAUUUUGUAUAUUUGGAUGAAUAAAGAUUAUUUAUUUUAUGAAUCUA